CAGUGUGAGCGCAGGAGCUGCACGCGCACUCAACAAGCCCUAAAAAACGGAGAAAUCUGUGCGCUUUAGAGGCUAAGGACAUUAAUAGUAUAAUGAACAUUUAAUGCUCGUAACAGUAGGCCUAUAGCCAAUACACUUAAACAACGCUAAUACAAUCAAAUAUAAUCUAAAAUUAUUAGUAUUGUCAACAUCAGCAAUCUUAAUAGGCUAUGUUCGCAAUAUCCGUCAAGUGACACACGGCACGGGACUACUGUACGCGCCGCACGCGCUAAAGAGUUCCGUGACACUGACGAACUGUUCACCAGCAGCAGGAGGAGAGGGAUGAGGGCAGCAUGGAUUACUCCCUCUCCACUGGGUUAAGAUGCUUACCAACUAAUUACCUUUCCAUCUGAAAAUCCCCGACCACGCAGCUCCAACAGACCGAGUGCUAGGAGAGAUGAAAAGAUAGAGGGACGGGGAGGCCGGUGGUGGAAAGAGGAGAGGAUGGGUGUUUGUGUUUCUUUUUUCAUUUCAGGAUGAGGAUGCUGUCCUUUGGGUGAUGUGGCCUUCGUUCAGGUAUGGAGCUAUUCCUCGAAGAGGGGGAGGUAGGGAGAGAGGGGUCUAUUGACGAUUUCUUCCAGAAGCGGGAAGAGGAGCUCUGGGACCCAUUUGGAGCAUCUCAAAAAUCACUUAGUGCAUCAUUCCACACGGCUGUAAUCAAUCUUCGAGCUGGGUAGUGGGUCUGCAUGGCACAGAGAUGAAUGUCUGCCCCUUUCUCCAUGUCCCGAUAAGGGAUGUUUGUUGUAACCUGUUUGUUUUAACCCGAUGGACAGAAGGCAUGUGCAACGCAGCCCAUGAGGACAUGGAUAUAAGAAACUUGUUGCAGAUUUUAAGAUUUUAAGUGGUAGUAUUGAAUACAUGGCUAAUGCUGUGUUGAACGACAUGUUGGAACACAUUCUUUUCGAACACAUAGAGAAUAAUUAUUCUCUGUGUAGUGUGGAGUAAGGUCUGGUGUUUUAGUCAUGCAUUUCAUUCAAGCUCUGCCUUUCUGCCCCAUCCAUUCCCCUUUUGUGGAUCAGAAACAAGGUAGAAGAUGUAAGCAAUAAUUUGACUUGUGUUUCUAUCAUAUUUCUCUGACCUAUCCAAGUUCACAGGGGCGGGCGGCCUGUUCCAUCUGGUAUUUUGGGUAAUGCCAGAUGGGCUGGUCAAUUUUUAGCCCAGUUGGACUGUCUAACUUGUGCCCCUCAAGGAACGAAAUGGGCUGGUGUGGGGGCCUCAAAGAAAAACAGAGUGGCUGUGGUUCUGGAUCUUCUGUAACCCGACUUUCUGUUUCUAAAAAUAAGACGUAGAUUUCUGCAUAUGCGGGAUCCACUAGCCUACCUCCUUUCAGCUGUUGUUCAGUAAUAAUGGGAAGUUCUUACCGACUCAGAUCUUUUUGAUUCAGUCAAAAGAAUGAAUCAUUCCAUUCCUUUGAUUCAGUAAUGCCCAGAGCAUGCAGGACCCCUACCGGCGAAUGAGGAACUAAAAGCUCGAAGGAAUCAUUCCAUUCCUUUGAUUCAGUAAUGCCCAGAGCAUGCAGGACCCCUACCGGCGAAUGAUGAACUAAAAGCUCGAAGGAAUCAUUCCAUUCCUUUGAUUCAGUAAUGCCCAGAGCAUGCAGGACCCCUACCGGCGAAUUAUGAACUAAAAGCUUGAAGGAAUCAUGAUUGCACAAGUCUCUCAUUCACCAUAGGAGGCUUAUUGGAGCUGCCAUUUGUGACUGAAACGUAUAAAACUGUGCUUCAUACAAUGUACAUUUGUGAUUGCUCAGCAUACAAAUACGAUUAUUCAUCGAUACAUUUGAAACAAGGUCUUGUUGCAGCCGCAGCCGGACUAGAUUGUGUGAACGACUCUUGGCGGAAUGCUUGACUGCCGCGAGGGAGAUCAGCAAGAUAUUGUUUACGAACUGCAGCAGCCCACCAAAAGGAUUUUUAUGGAGUGUUGGGCAGAGUCAGGCUGUGUAUGAUUUGAUUCUACAAAGCUGUGUCCUUCGAAAAACAUUCAAUAAUCAAAUCAUUGCAUUCAUUCUGUCAGCAUGCGAUCACCUAUCAGUUCUAAACAUGGUCCCAGGGUUCUCAGUAGCUGUGUGCCAUCCCCCCGGGGCAUCUGCGCUAUGAUUAGCUGAUUAUAACAUACACUCCCAGAGUAAACUUACACUUGACAGAGGAGUGUAUGUGAGUACGUCUCAGCAAUAGGGGCUGUAACAGAGAUCCAUACACACCUCCAUGAACCAUUUACCUCACUGGAAUGAGAAGUGCAUCCUACCGAGAUUUGCCUCAGUCAAUGAAUCAGUCAAUCAAUUUGAUUGAUUCAUGUACUUUUCCAGUCGUAGGGUUGGUUUUGGCUGUUGCUCGAGAUGGAGCUGGAGUAUAGGGCUGGGGCUCGGUAGUGCGUGUAGUGGAGUAUGUAGCAGUGUAGCAGAGAUGUGCGGUGGAUUAGAGCCUACGUUGUCCCUACAACAGCAGAAGGGCCUGCUGUAAAUCCUGGGCUUUAACGGUAGCCACAGCCACCGCAGCUUAUGAUGCAACCAGCUCCCCUUCUACGGCACCACGAAAGGGGAGUGAGAGGGGAGGAGAGCAGGGGGUGGGAUGAGAAAGGAGAGGAGAAGAGAAUAGUAGGGUAUAAAGUGGUCUUGAUGAUGUCAUUUUGACACAAAUCAGCUUUCAAACACUGCAGUUCAUCGGGUUCAACACAGAAUGGGGAUGUUCACACACACACAUGCACGGAUGCACACACAUAUCCAUAGCACAUGGUUAAACUGGUGGCUAUAGUGAGAGGGCAGUGUGCUGCUGACACACUGACAGCUGCUGGUGGUGAUUAGACCAUGUAGCCAUGAUGGAGGGGAUCAAAGACACACACACACAAAACCACCUCCACUUCAUCCUGUGACGGCUCUGUCUACUGGGUUUUGCUGUGCUUACUUCCUGCAGGAGAUUGGUGUGCGGAGUAGUAGAGGUGGGAGAAGCUGGGAGGGUCGUCAGUGCUGAUGGGGCACACCUGUGAAAGCUCAGCAGUAGCAUGAGCCACUGCUUCCCCAUUCAGCAAGAGAAGCUAACCUUUGGUUUACCUUUGGCUUACCUUUGGUUGUUUCAUUGUGGCUUUGGCAGUUGACACCUAAUUUACUGACCUUCAUGCCUCUGCAUCUGAUUAUUGUUGUGAGUGUUUACUUUAUUUAUGGAAUAAAUUCAUUUAGUUAAUCCCUUUGUGUGGUUUCCCAUUGUUUGUUACAAUCUUGAGUCAGGUUGUAACAAGUGGCGGCUCAUCCAGAACACACAACACAGUAAUAAACAGGACACCAUCAUCUGGGCUAAGCAACUCCCCCUACAACCCCCCCCCCCCCUUGCUGUCUUGGCUAGUUUUUAUUGCUUUAUUUCACUGUAGAGCCCUCAAUCCUGCUCAAAUUGCCUUAGAUAGGUCUUUC